UUUAUAUUCGCUGCGCCGGUAGACGCAGUGUCACGGUGCCACAGUGACCCGGCCAAUCGUAUGCUAAAUUAUAUCAAAUACUCCUAAGCACCUAAUGAAUAGUCACAGCUACGGCCGGAUUGCAUUUCUCGGUUCUUGACAGGCGCCGAAACAUUUGGUAACUUCACUGUCAUCCAUAUUCGGUUGUUUUAUUUAAAAGACUGUUGCAGCACAAACGGAAAUUUGUUAAAAUUCGAUGAAAAAUCUUCUUCCUGGUUGUACUACUCAAGAACAGAUAUUCGGUUUAUAAUUCUGUUAUAAAGCUGUUGUCAUCCAAACCUGCCAAUAAAUUAACGAAUCGGGUUGGAA